UGGCCGCGAAGCGCAACGGCGGGUGGAGACCAGUAGCCGGCGACAAGAGCGUGGUGACUGCGAAGACGGCGCCUGCGUAGCGAGGGCGCGGAACGCAACAAGCAGCUGUGCUCACGCCAUCUCCGUCUCCGGACAGUGUCAUUGCCACAUUAGAAGAGCUUGCACAGUGUAACGGGAACCGCGGGACAUUUCGGCUGGUACAGCAUACAGUGAUAAAAGGAAAGGUUUUUUCUUUUUCUUUUUUGGACAAUGAUUAAGUGCUGAAGACGCUGAAACUGUAACAGUGCAGAGGAGAGUGUGAUUUUGUUUCUUUUCGUACAACAAAUCUUUUUCCAAGCCCUUUCUCGAUAAGGACAUCUUCAUAAACCGUUGACAGUAAAACUGCCUCCUAAUCGAUCAAAUGUUUAGGGCACAAGAUUUGUCUUCGUGACCAGAGUAAGAGAGGUGCAUGCAAAAGCAUUUUUAUUCUUGCAGACUUUGUAGCAGGUGGAUAGUAUAGCCAACAGAUCAUAACUUUCUGAAUUAUUCUGAAACAGUUUAUGGAGAGCUUAGUCCUAAAUUUAUGAACGGACGUAGCUGAUACAGUGAUGCGAUUUUCAAAUAUGGAAGUGUUUUACACCAUCAAAUAUAGGUAACAGUAAGAGCCGCAGGUUAACAAAGAAAUUUCUGGUGAAGAAAGUUGCUUAUGUGAUCUGUGGUCUGAGGGAAUUUCUCGUUGUUCUAUGUAGCUGUAGCUUACAAGAUAGCACAGAUUUUAUGACUGUUCGGAGGAGAUAUGUGAAUAAGUGGAUAUUCAACCGCUGGUCGACAGGAUGAUGGACUGAGAUUGGAGCCUUCAUUUGAUCUUGUAGUAUUGGAGUAAUUUUGCUGGCAAUAAUGGAUGCAGAAUUUGAGUUACGCGAGGGACUGGACGGCAACGGAACGCAGUGGGGCGGCGACGAGGACCCCAUGCAGAAGCGGCCCGUACAGGCGCUGUUCGGGCUGCUGUACCUGGUCAUCUUCACGGUGGGCACGUGCGGCAACGCGCUCGUCUGCUUCGUGGUGGCGCGCAACCGCAGCAUGCAGACGGUGACGAACCUGUUCAUCAGCAACCUGGCGCUCUCCGACAUCCUGCUGUGCGCGCUCUGCGUGCCCUUCACGCCGCUCUACACCUUCUACGGGCGCUGGGUGUUCGGCAGCGCGCUCUGCCACACGGUGGCCUUCGCCCAGGGCACCAGCGUCUACAUCUCGACGCUGACGCUGACGGCGAUCGCCGUGGACCGCUUCUACGUGAUCGUGCACCCGUUCCGGCCGCGCAUGCGCGCCUCCACGUGCCUGGCGAUCGUGUGCGCCGUGUGGGCGGCGUCGCUGGCCGCGACGCUGCCAUACGGCGUCUUCAUGGAGCACCGGCUGCGCGCCGGCAGCCACUUCUGCGAGGAGAGCUGGCCGUCGGAGACGGUGCGCCAGGCCUUCGGCGGCGUCACCUUCGCCAUGCAGUUCGUGGCGCCGUUCCUCGCCAUCUCCGUCUGCUACACCAAAAUCUGGCUGCGGCUGCGCCACCAGGCGCGCACCAAGCCGGGCGCCAAGACGUCGCGCAAGGAGGAGGCGGACCGCGAGCGCAAGCGCCGCACCAACCGCAUGCUCGUCGCCAUGGUGGUCGUCUUCGGCACCUGCUGGAUGCCGCUCAACCUCGUCAACCUCGCCAACGACCUGUACAUCCCGAUCGGCCACUGGCGCUACUUCAACCUGUGCUUCUUCGCGGUGCACGCGCUCGCCAUGAGCUCCACCUGCUAUAAUCCGUUCCUGUACGCCUGGCUGAACGAGAACUUCCGCAAGGAGUUCCGGCGCGUGGUGCCGUGCUGCAUGCGCGCCGGCCGCGCGCCGCGGCAGGGCUUCGCCGGCGCCGGCACCUCGAUGGGCGGCCAGUCCGUGCAGACGGCCCUGCAGACCUCCAACUCGCUGCUGCCCGACGUCGUCUCCACGGACUCGGACCCCGCCCCCGCACCCUCUCCCUGCGCCGGCUACUGCGCCAACGACGAGCAGGUCCGCUUCUCCGGGAUCGAGAACAAGGUGCUGGACGUGUCGCCUUCCAUUUAGGAUUUGCUGGUUGGCACUGCAAGUUGUCCCCCCAAGAAGAACAGCUGUAUAAUAGAGCCGGUGCGGCCGAGAUGCGAGGGGCAGUCUGGAUGGAGGACGUCAGUCGGCGCGCGAGGCUUCCGCUUGAGCCCCGGGAGUUUGCUCGUAGACUUCGACCUCCAGCUGCAGAUGUUCCGCCCCUGACAAAAAUCACGAUACUCACUACGUUCCCACAGAUCCUAGCCCUUACAACUGUGAAAAUAAAACUUAUUUAGCGACCAUGUAUUUUAAGUCAAAUAAAGGAUUGGAAGCUAC